rnacentral:lncRNA from 1 species
GUUUCUGGAAGCACGGAAUACAUCAGAAGCAUACCGGCCGCACUCUAUAUAUAUAUAUAGAGAGAGAGAGAGAGAGCAAUACCUUAAUACACUAUAAGUAUUAAAAUCAAACUCUAAAUUAGUAAAGGGUAUAGCUGAAUUUUACAUAAAGUAAUCUAUUGAACAGAUUACCGAUUUGAAUUAAUUAAUAUGGCAAUAUUGGAAAAAAAUUAGUAUUAUAUCAAAUUUGUUAGCAU